rnacentral:rRNA from 1 species
UACGUAGGGUGCGAGCGUUAAUCGGAAUUACUGGGCGUAAAGCGUGCGCAGGCGGUUCGUUAUGUCCGAUGUGAAAGCCCCGAGCUUAACUUGGGAAUGGCAUUGGAAACUGGCGGGCUGGAGUGCGGCAGAGGGGGGGUGGAAUUCCACGUGGUAGCAGUGAAAUGCGUAGAGAUGUGGAGGAACACCGAUGGCGAAGGCAAUCCCCUGGGCCUGCACUGACGCUCAUGCACGAAAGCGUGGGGAGCAAACAGG